AGCCUUUUUAGUUUGUUCCUGCUCAGGACGAACGCCGGCGGCGUGCCUAAUACAUGCAAGUCGAGCGGACAGAUGGGAGCUUGCUCCCUGAUGUUAGCGGCGGACGGGUGAGUAACACGUGGGUAACCUGCCUGUAAGACUGGGAUAACUCCGGGAAACCGGGGCUAAUACCGGAUGCUUGUUUGAACCGCAUGGUUCAAACAUAAAAGGUGGCUUCGGCUACCACUUACAGAUGGACCCGCGGCGCAUUAGCUAGUUGGUGAGGUAAUGGCUCACCAAGGCGACGAUGCGUAGCCGACCUGAGAGGGUGAUCGGCCACACUGGGACUGAGACACGGCCCAGACUCCUACGGGAGGCAGCAGUAGGGAAUCUUCCGCAAUGGACGAAAGUCUGACGGAGCAACGCCGCGUGAGUGAUGAAGGUUUUCGGAUCGUAAAGCUCUGUUGUUAGGGAAGAACAAGUACCGUUCGAAUAGGGCGGUACCUUGACGGUACCUAACCAGAAAGCCACGGCUAACUACGUGCCAGCAGCCGCGGUAAUACGUAGGUGGCAAGCGUUGUCCGGAAUUAUUGGGCGUAAAGGGCUCGCAGGCGGUUUCUUAAGUCUGAUGUGAAAGCCCCCGGCUCAACCGGGGAGGGUCAUUGGAAACUGGGGAACUUGAGUGCAGAAGAGGAGAGUGGAAUUCCACGUGUAGCGGUGAAAUGCGUAGAGAUGUGGAGGAACACCAGUGGCGAAGGCGACUCUCUGGUCUGUAACUGACGCUGAGGAGCGAAAGCGUGGGGAGCGAACAGGAUUAGAUACCCUGGUAGUCCACGCCGUAAACGAUGAGUGCUAAGUGUUAGGGGGUUUCCGCCCCUUAGUGCUGCAGCUAACGCAUUAAGCAUUCCGCCUGGGGUACGGCCGCCC
rnacentral:rRNA from 1 species